rnacentral:rRNA from 1 species
AGAGUUUGAUCAUGGCUCAGGACGAACGCUGGCGGCGUGCUUAACACAUGCAAGUCGAACGGUGAAGCCCAGCUUGCUGGGUGGAUGAGUGGCGAACGGGUGAGUAACACGUGAGUAACCUGCCCCCUUCUUCUGGAUAACUGCCCGAAAGGGUGGCUAAUACGGGAUAUUCUUUUCCUGCCGCAUGGUGGGUUUUGGAAAGGUUUUUUCUGGUGGGGGAUGGGCUCGCGGCCUAUCAGCUUGUUGGUGGGGUGAUGGCCUACCAAGGCGGUGACGGGUAGCCGGCCUGAGAGGGUGGACGGCCACACUGGGACUGAGACACGGCCCAGACUCCUACGGGAGGCAGCAGUGGGGAAUAUUGCACAAUGGGCGCAAGCCUGAUGCAGCGACGCCGCGUGAGGGAUGGAGGCCUUCGGGUUGUAAACCUCUUUCGCCAGUGAAGCAGGCCAUGCCCGUGUGGUGUGGUUGACGGUAGCUGGAUAAGAAGCGCCGGCUAACUACGUGCCAGCAGCCGCGGUAAUACGUAGGGCGCGAGCGUUGUCCGGAAUUAUUGGGCGUAAAGAGCUCGUAGGCGGCUGGUCGCGUCUGCCGUGAAAUCCCCUGGCUUAACUGGGGGCUUGCGGUGGGUACGGGCCGGCUUGAGUGCGGUAGGGGAGACUGGAACUCCUGGUGUAGCGGUGGAAUGCGCAGAUAUCAGGAAGAACACCGGUGGCGAAGGAGGGUCUCUGGGCCGUUACUGACGCUGAGGAGCGAAAGCGUGGGGAGCGAACAGGAUUAGAUACCCCGGUAGUCC